CCAGGGGUCUGUGAGACACACUCUCCCAGACCUUGGGAAGCUCAACCCUGGGAAAUUCAGGGCCCCCGAGGCUGACCCAGGAACGGGCACUUCUGCCUUUCCCGGGGAUGCUUUUAGAUCACAAAGCCCAGGGACCGGAGGCGGGUGAAGCGACGAUGGUGAGGGCACAGAGCCGGCGCCACAGGGCUGGGGGAGAGGGAGAGGGGCAGCCUCGGCCUGUGGAAGGAGACCCCUGCGGUCCAGGCAAGGCCCUCCAAGGCCUCUGGGGGUGGCAGGGCGGCCUGAAGUCAGGGGGUCCUUCUGUGGGUCGCCCGCUCCCGGCCCAGCUCCCUCCUCUGUCCAGGCAGGAGUGCGGUGCCCGCGUGGUGGCCCUGCGAAGGGCUGUCCCCCGCUGCCCCUCCCGCUCUCGGAGAGGGGGCUCCAUCCAGAGGAGCGGCCGGUUCCCCUCAGACCCCUCACACCCAGGUCAGGUGUGCUCUUCGAGGACGCACACAGACGCUCGGACGCGCGGGUCCGGGCGGCAGACAUCCCUCGCCGGCCCCACGAGCCGAGAGCAGAGCGCUGUGGGGGCCCGGACCGCCCUGCAACCCUGCCCAGCCCUGCCCCCGCUGCGGACGUGGAGGCUGAAUCCACAGGGGAGGCAGGUGGCACUCCAGGGGGACGGCGUGUGUGACCACGGCCCCCGGGGCCUCCUCCCCCUCCCUGCGAGUGGGCUCCUCGGUCCGGGGCCCCAUCCCGUGGUUCACAGGCGGACCCCCUUCCAGCCCGGGGCUCACCUCCGCCGUGGCUCUGGCACAGGUAGGGGAAGCGCCACACGUUGCCCAGGCCCACGCAGAAGCCCACGCAGGUGAGCAUGUACUGGGCCUUGUUGUCCCACUGGGGCCGGGAGCCGGCCUCCUUGGCCUCGAUGCUCUCCAGCUGGUCCAGGGACGGGAUCCGGUCCUCCAGGCCCGGGUUGGGCAACACGAGCCUCACCAUGGUGGUCGCAGGGCCGGUCCCUGGUGGCCCAGGCGGGUCGGGAGCCAGAGGGCGAGUGGCCGCAGGCCCAGAGCCCCAGCACUUUAUAGGGAACCUUUGGCACCUCGCCCCGAGCACCUGGCGUCAGCAGAUCUGGAGGUGAGUCCGCCCCAACUGUUAAUGCCUUAUCUGUGGAGGCGCCGCAGACCCUCGGGACUGCCCCACAGGCGCCGGCCGGCCCCUCCCACUGAGCAAAGGCAGCAGCCGCCAAGGCUCCCGCCCCCAGGGUGCUCCCGAGGCUGGGUUCCCCCCCUCCCUGCAGGACACCGCUGCUCUCCAGACGCCGGGAUGCUCGGCUCACCGCCACACUCCCCAGUGGCAGGAGGAGGUGGGGCGGCCCUCCCUCUCCCCUCUCUCUGCCAGCAGGCUAUGUGCGGGGCCGUCCCCCUGCCCCGCCCCGCCCCACCCCGUCCAGGGCCGCGAGGUGGACCUGGGCCCUGGGAGCAGCCCACUGCCCUGCUCACUCGGAGUUUGGAGCUGCCUGGACCCCUCCGGGCCCCGAGCACCAGGCUCUAACCAGCCUCCCAGGGAGCUUUGGGUCCCCGCUGGCAUCUGGGUACCGAAGCCCCUUCAGAUGCGGGGUGCCUGUAGGUGGGCCCCUGGGACCCACAGCAGCCCCCGGGGCGCUCGGCUCCCCGGGUCUUCACCCGGCUGUCCCCCAGCCUCUCCGGGCAGCUGCGGGAUUUCUGUCCUCCUACCCAACGCCGGGCAUGGGGCGGCCCCGAGAGGGGUGGGGGGACGGCAGUGGGAAACGGGGUUCCGCUGCGGUCAAGCAGGGAGGCUUGGGGGGCCCGCGGCACACGCAGAGAGUGUCGUAGCCUCCACCUGGUGCCCUCUGGCCCCGGGUGCCCUCCAGCCCAGCCUGGCCUCUAGCCUGGGAGAGCAAGGGAAGAACCCCACCUGAAGGUUAUGACGGCCAAGCCCAUCCUGAAGGCAGAGCAGAGUUUGGGACAAAGUUAGUGUGGGUGGGGGCAUGCCCACCAGCGAUCUGCACCUGGCAAUCCUUCUGGCCCGCUGCCACUUUUCCUGGGGUCACUGACCAGGCCACACCCAGCCCCCUAGGGGCCGUUCCCUCGGGAGCUCCCUUCACUGGCCUGCGGGGUCUGCUGGGUGCAGAGCCCUCUCUGAUGGCCCUGUUGACCGGCCUCCACUCCCACCUGGUCCUUCCCAGAGGGAUGGGCUCUGUCGCUGGGAGUCCUUUGCUUAUCUGUCUCCCCAGUGACCCGCUCCACUGGACAAUAACGUCCCUUCCGGCCCGGGGUUGCCUGACCCCGACCCCACCCCACUUGACUGGUUCAUGCUGACAUUCGAGGAACAAUCCAGGGAAGGCAGGCCCGAGGCCGCCUGGGCUCUCACGGUUGGCCAGAUGAAGGGGUCCCGCGGCUGUCCCCAGAUGGGUGCAUCCAGGGAGGUGGCCGGAUAGGCACCUGGGCCUCCGUCCCCAGCUUCGCUUGCCCAGGGGCCACGGGAGCCCCGCAGCCACGCUCAGUGGUCUUCGUGGCAGGAAGUGCCAGGCAGUUCCGGUGAACAGGGGACAGGGGACACGUAAAUCACAGGACACGUGUCCAUCCGCUGCUUGUGUCAUCGGUCAGGCUUCUAGGCCGCAGGACACUGCGAGGAGGGAAGUUUCCAGAAGUCAAAAGUUGCACGCGGGAUCUCUACUGCAGGGUCUGUGCACAAGGGCCGAGGGUCACCUGGAUAAGUGUGCACGUGUGUGAGUGACACACGCACCCUCACUGCCUCACUGCCUGAAAUUAUACUGUCUGUGCACGAUUUUUAUUUUCCUUUUAUUAAAUUAGAAAA